AUUCUCAAUGGUGAUUUCAACCUGGUGAGGCACGAGGAAGAACGCAGCACGGGGAGAGCCAACAGAAGGAUGGUGAGCAAGUUUCGUCAUACCAUAAACAAGUUGUGUCUGCACGAGAUGCCUAUGUUCGGAAGGAAAUUUACGUGGUGCAAUGGGCAGGAGCACCCAAUCAUGGCCAAGCUUGACAGGCUG
rnacentral:rRNA from 1 species